rnacentral:rRNA from 1 species
AUGAGAGUUCCUGACCACGACCUUGCUUUCCUCCAAACACAGAAACAAAAGCUUCACAGUCUUGCGAUUGCGAUAAAACCAUGGGCGAUGGCAUUGCACUCCCAAGUCCAAGUCACACCACACCGUUCUCGCUCGGCUCAGGCCUCACGCGCAAACACGAGGGUCUUCGGGCUCCUCGCCGCGCUGCUCGCCGGGGCCAGCGGGCAGCAGCAGGCCGGCGUGCCGUCGAUCAUCACCGGGGAGAAGUUCGACGCCAUGCUGAGCAACCGCAGCAAAGGCAGCUGCGAGGGCGUCACAUUCUACACCUACGACGCGUUCGUCAAGGCCGCGAGCAACUUCCCGGCCUUCGGCAACACCGGCGACGACAAGACCCGCAGACGGGAGCUCGCCGGCUUCUUCGGGCAGACCUCCCACGAAACCGUCCAUCGAGGGGUGGAACCCUUUUUUUUCUGUCGCGAGAGAAUCCACGGUAUGACAUGCUAUCAGGCUAUGACCUCAGGUUACUGCUUUGUGAAAGAGCAAAAUGCAGUGAUCACGCGCUACUACGGAUGA